ensembl:lncRNA
CUGCGAGCAGCGCGAGAGUUCACCUGCGAGCACCUGCGAGCAGCGCGAGAGUUCACCUGCGAGCGUUCACCUGCGAGCAGCGCGAGCGUUCACCUGCGAGCGUUCACCUGCGAGCAGCGCGAGCGUUCACCUGCGAGCAGCGCGAGCGUUCACCUGCGAGCAGCGCGAGCGUUCACCUGCGAGCAGCGCGAGCGUUCACCUGCGAGCAGCGCGAUUUACAAAAUGGUGCCGGUAGUGCUUCUUGCUGAUUUCUGUUGAGACAUUUUUCUUCGGCGUGAAAGCAAACCUCGUCAUUAUUUCUCAACGCGCGGCAGAAAACCCUGCUCCAUAGGCCCUGAUGUAUAUUUCAGACCGGAUGUGACGCAUCGGGUCAGCGUCUCUCCAUCACGCCUCAUCAUUCCUCACUUCCACUGAACGAGGGCGCCUCUCUAGGGGACGUCUCUAGGGGAGGAAUAUUUGAACAGAUGAAUUGAGGACCGUCUCUCUUGGGAGUCCUGGAUUUUCUGAGCGAGCAAUAGAGAAAGAAGAGCAAAAAGGGAAUUGAAGAGGGAGGAAGUGAGAGAUAAAGAAUGGAGAGGGGUAAUGACUUCACAGAGACCCAUCAUCACCACCCCUUAUUCCCUCUGAGGCUGAAUAGUGAACGAGGGCAACUCUCCAGGGGACGAAAAUUCGAACAGAUGUGUCGAGGUCUUUCUGAAAAGAGAGGAACUCGAGUGAUUCUGUUUGUUCUGGGCCUCUAGCUGCAGGUCCUGUUUGCUCAGUUCCUGAUUGCUAAGUGGACCAUAAAGUCUGAUUCGGUUCAUCAUUGAUUCAAAUGUUUUUAACCCUAAACAAGCUGUUUAAAUUUUUUUUAAUGAUGUUGAAAUCUCAGUUCUCUCUCUCGCUCUCUCUCUCUCUCUUCAUUCUCUCGCUCUCUCUUCAUUCUCUCCCUGGUUUUGAUUGAUUUAUUUUGUGGGUUUUUUUUUUCUUCUUCCAUUUUUUAAUUAAAUAUCUUAUCAGCCUUAAAAUUGACUAUUAAUCCAUAAUUGAAGUAGUAAUAAUAAAAUAAUAAAAAAAA